rnacentral:rRNA from 1 species
CACGUAGGGGGCGAGCGUUAUCCGGAAUCAUUGGGCGUAAAGGGUGCGUAGGCGGCCUUUUAAGCGCGGGGUUUAAGGCGGUGGCCCAACCACCGUUCGCCCCGCGAACUGGAGGGCUAGAGUGUCGGAGAGGGAAGCGGAAUUCCUAGUGUAGCGGUGAAAUGCGUAGAUAUUAGGAGGAACACCAGUGGCGAAGGCGGCUUCCUGGACGAAGACUGACGCUGAGGCACGAAAGCGUGGGGAGCGAACAGG